UACGUAGGGGGCAAGCGUUGUCCGGAAUUAUUGGGCGUAAAGCGCUCGCAGGCGGUCCUUUAAGUCUGAUGUGAAAUCUUGCGGCUUAACCGUAAGCGGUCAUUGGAAACUGGAGGACUUGAGUACAGAAGAGGAGAGUGGAAUUCCACGUGUAGCGGUGAAAUGCGUAGAGAUGUGGAGGAACACCAGUGGCGAAGGCGACUCUCUGGUCUGUAACUGACGCUGAGGAGCGAAAGCGUGGGGAGCAAACAGG
rnacentral:rRNA from 1 species